rnacentral:misc_RNA from 1 species
AGCUGAGCACACUUUUCUCACGUGGGUCGUAUAUAACUGUGGACAUUGUUGUGAAACAACGACAUUCAAAGCCAUCGUCUGACCAUGACCGGCCUACGUCUCCUGGUGGUGCUGGUGUUUGUGCUGCCCUCUCACGGCGACUUCCCCUUCAGGAACACGAGUCUGUCCUGGGACGAGCGUGUGGACGACCUGGUGGGCCGCCUCUCCAUCGAGGAGAUCAUGUACCAGAUGACCAAAGGAGGCACUAGCCCAGGCAAUGGCCCCACUCCGCCCAUCCCCAGACUUGGUAUAGGGCCCUAUUCCUGGAACACGGAGUGUCUGAGGGGAGACGUGGAGGCGGGGAACGCUACCUCCUUUCCCCAGUCUCUGGGUCUGGCGGCCGCCUGGGACCCCGAUGUUGUGUACAAAGUGGCAGAAGCGACGAGCGAAGAGGUUCGAGGAAAGUUUAAUGAUUUCGUAAAGAACAAACAGUACGGCACCCACAAAGGAAUCAGCUGCUUCAGCCCCGUCAUCAACAUCAUGCGCGACCCCAGGUGGGGCAGGAACGAGGAAACCUACGGAGAGGACCCCCACCUGACUGGUCAGUACGCCGCCCACUUCGUGUGGGGACUGCAGGGGAACCACCCCCGCUAUGUCCGAGCUAACGCCGGGUGUAAACACUUCGAUGCGUACGCCGGCCCGGAGAGCAUACCCGUCAGCAGAAUGUCUUUCAAUGCCGUUGUUUCAGAGCGAGACUGGCGAACCACAUUCCUGCCCGCAUUUAGAACAUGCGUCAAGGCGGGGACCUACAACAUCAUGUGUAGCUACAACAGCAUCAAUGGUGUACCAGCGUGUGCCAACAAGCGGCUGCUGACGGACAUCCUUAGAGACGAGUGGGGUUUUCAGGGCUACGUCGUCAGCGACCAGGGUGCAAUAGAAAACAUCAUCGGCUCCCACCACUACUUAAACAACAGCGUAGAUACUGUAGCAGCCUGCGUCAAUGCUGGAUGUAACCUCGAACUUGCAGGCAAAGCGGAGGCCGUGUAUCUGUCUAUGUUGGAUGCCGUUAAGCAGGGGAAGCUGACCGAGGACCUAAUGAGGGAACGAGUUAAGAAGCUGUUCUACACCAGGAUGAGACUGGGAGAGUUCGAUCCCCCCUCCAUGAACCCGUACUCCACAUAUGACCUCUCGUAUGUAGAGUCCGCGGCUCACAGGGAACUCGCUGUAUGGGCUGCCACAAGAACAUUUGUCCUCCUGAAGAAUGAUGGCGGGUUUCUUCCACUCAAGCAGAAAAUCGACACUAUUGGAGUUGUGGGCGUCAUGACGUUUGAAGGCAACAACACCGUCGGCAACUACGCCCCCAACACCGACCCUCGGUUCAUGUCGCGGACAAUCGACGGUCUGAGAACGCUUGGGAACGUGGUUCAGGCUGCAUCUGGCUGUAACGACAGCAUGUGCGAGAAAUACGAUGCCGCCGCUAUCAAAAAGGCAGUUACCGGUGUCGACGUGUUGUUCAUCACGUUAGGAACAGGAGCCAGUAUCGAGAAAGAAGGACACGACAAACCGGACAUUGAGCUGCCAGCCGGACAAGUGCAGCUCCUAAAAGAUGCCGUCCAGUACAGUGGGAAUGUCCCGAUAGUUCUACUGCUAUUUAACGCUGGUCCUCUCAAUAUGACCUUUGCUGUCGGGAACCCUCGCAUCGUGUCCAUCAUGGAGGUGUUCUACCCUGCCCAGGCCACGGGGGAGGCGCUCAGGAGGGUCCUCACCAACGAUGGGGGAAACAAUGUCCCCGCCGGAAGACUUCCCUACACAUGGCCCAGGUCUCUGGAUGGGUUCCCCGAGAUGGUGAACUACUCCAUGGACGGCCGCACCUACCGCUACUUCAACACAGAAGUACUCUACCCCUUCGGAUAUGGCCUUUCAUACUCCACGUUCUUCUACAAGGAAGUGACGUAUCCGGGAUUGGUGAAGGCAGGACAGAGCGCCAAUGUAACCACAGUGGUCGUCAACAACGGGCCUUAUGCCGCUGACGAGGUAGUGCAGCUGUACGUGCGAUGGGAGAGCCCGUCCGUCCCCACCCCCAAGAUUCAGUUGGUGGACUUCAAGAGAGUGUCCUUAGCGGUCAAACAGGAGCUGGCCGUCAACCUGACCAUAACAGCCCAGAACAUGGCGAUCUGGGACGACAACAACGGCUGGAUAGUCGAGGACGGUUACCUAGAGAUGUUUGUCGGUGGCCAGCAGCCCAACCAGCUAUCAACCGAUGGUAGCUAGUGGCUUCCGACCCAGAAUUCUAUAGUGUGCAUUAGGCAUUCCGUCGAGGGACACAGGGAAACCCCGGAUAGUUCUAACUACCUACCAACGGAGUACAUGCAAAGACAACCGGCUACAUGUUAGAACCGACAAGACCCGUGAACAAGCGUAGCCCCAGACAUGCAUGGUAUGUCAACUUGACCUUCUUGUCGGCGGAUUGAUCAAGACCCUUCGUGAAGAGGAACUCGGUUGUACAGCACCAACGUCAUAAGAGACUUAUCUUAUAUACAAUCUGAUAUAUAUGAGGUCGCAAUUGUAAAUUUGCGUUUAGCCCAGUCAUUGGAAUAAAAGUUUGUAAAUUCACACUCCUUGUCCAGUGCUUGUGAACUUGAUACAGGACAGAACCUGCUCCUUUUUAUAAGUCCUUCGUGUGUACUUCCCGAGCAGCAAACAGUCCUCAUGAGGAGAUUGUUCUUAUAGUCACUGCAACUAUGUAUAUUGCAUGCUGUAUAUAAAAUGGAUACUCGUACUUGUCUGUAUACAAAAUAUAUAUCUGAAUUCCAAAGUCAUUGCCAUUAAAAACAGUUUUAUACG